CCUGGCUCAGGAUGAACGCUGGCGGCGUGCCUAACACAUGCAAGUCGAACGAGAAGCCUGAUUUCGAUUAGGUGGAGAGUGGCGCACGGGUGAGUAACACAUGGCUGACCUGCCCUUCAGAGGGGGACAACCACCGGAAACGGUGGCUAAUACCCCAUACGCUCGCCGUGAUUAGCAGGCGGUGAGGAAACCUUCGGGGCUGAGGGAGGGGGCUGUGGCCCAUCAGCUAGUUGGUAGGGUAACGGCCUACCAAGGCGAAGACGGGUAGGGGGCCUGAGAGGGUGACCCCCCACACGGGCACUGAGACACGGGCCCGACUUCUACGGAAGGCAGCAGUGAGGGAUAUUGCCCAAUGGACGGAAGUCUGAGGCAGCAACGCCGCGUGCGGGAUGAAGGCCUUCGGGUUGUAAACCGCUUUUCUGCGCGAAGAGGAAGGACGGUAGCGCAGGAAGAAGUCUCGGCUAACUACGUGCCAGCAGCCGCGGUAAAACGUAGGAGGCGAGCGUUAUCCGGAUUUACUGGGUGUAAAGCGCGUGCAGGCGGUCAUGUAAGUGGUGCGUGAAAGCGCCCGGCUCAACCGGGCGAGGCCGUGCCAAACUGCGUGACUGGAGGCAGGUAGAGGCGCGUGGAAUUCCGGGUGUAGUGGUGAAAUGCGUAGAUAUCCGGAGGAACACCAGUGGCGAAGGCGGCGCGCUGGGCCUGACCUGACGCUAAGACGCGAAAGCAUGGGGAGCGAACGGGAUUAGAAACCCCGGUAGUCCAUGCUGUAAACGCUGCAGACUAGGUGUUGCGUGCGACGAGUAUGCAGUGCCGAAGCCAACGUGAUAAGUCUGCCACCUGGGGACUACG
rnacentral:rRNA from 1 species